AAACGAGUUACCAGUCACUCCACCAACAUCAACCACACACAAGACAAGAUUUACGUGGUUCGGCCAACAAUGCCUACGUCCACGGAGAGGAAUCUGUUAAUUCACUAUCAGAAAUGAAUUACAAUAAAUACAAAGGAGGAGAUCACACUCAACUCACUCUUCUCUCUAUCUCACAGUCUUGCUCUCUUCACUCACAGCACUCACUCAAUCUAUACUGCCCUCUUCCUCACUCUCUGUACUUCUCCCGCACUCCCUUCCCC
rnacentral:lncRNA from 1 species